rnacentral:rRNA from 1 species
UACGUAGGGGGCUAGCGUUGUCCGGAAUUAUUGGGCGUAAAGAGCUCGUAGGCGGUUCGUCGCGUCGGCUGUGAAAACCCGGAGCUCAACUCCGGGCCUGCAGUCGAUACGGGCGGACUUGAGUGUUGCAGGGGAGACUGGAAUUCCUGGUGUAGCAGUGAAAUGCGUAGAUAUCUGGAGGAACACCGGUGGCGAAGGCGGCAUCCUGGACCAACACUGACGCUGAUGAGCGAAAGCCAGGGGAGCAAACGGG